rnacentral:rRNA from 1 species
ACGGGGGGCGCACCAGUGAGGAAUUUUGCGCAAUGGGGGAAACCCUGACGCAGCAACGCCGCGUGAGUGAUGAAGGCUUUCGAGUCGUAAAGCUCUGUCAAGUGGGAAGAACCUACUAAGUGCCAAUACCACUUAGUACUGACGGUACCACUGAAGGAAGCACCGGCUAACUCCGUGCCAGCAGCCGCGGUAAUACGGGGGGUGCAAGCGUUACUCGGAAUUAUUGGGCGUAAAGGGCGCGCAGGCGGCCAGGUAAGUCAGAUGUGAAAGCCCGGGGCUCAACCCCGGAAGUGCAUUUGAAACUACUUGGCUUGAGUAUGGGAGAGGGAAGUGGAAUUCCUGGUGUAGAGGUGAAAUUCGUAGAUAUCAGGAGGAACACCGGUGGCGAAGGCGACUUCCUGGACCAAUACUGACGCUGAGGCGCGAAGGCGUGGGUAGCAAACAGGAUUAGAUACCCGUGUAGUC